UUUGUCUUCUAAGCAGUUCUAUCUGUUUGUCCAUUGCUUCCAGCUGUACUGCUUCUGGUUUUCGUGACAUCCUGGUUCCUGCUUUCUUGUGUUGGGGUGCCCUCUGGUGGUUAUUGUCUGAACUGCUGGCUCUCUGUUGUCUCCUG